GGGUUGUGAGGUUAAGCGACUAAGCGUACACGGUGGAUGCCCUGGCAGUCAGAGGCGAUGAAGGACGUGCUAAUCUGCGAUAAGCGUCGGUAAGGUGAUAUGAACCGUUAUAACCGGCGAUUUCCGAAUGGGGAAACCCAGUGUGAUUCGUCACACUAUCAUUAACUGAAUCCAUAGGUUAAUGAGGCGAACCGGGGGAACUGAAACAUCUAAGUACCCCGAGGAAAAGAAAUCAACCGAGAUUCCCCCAGUAGCGGCGAGCGAACGGGGAGCAGCCCAGAGCCUGAAUCAGUGUGUGUGUUAGUGGAAGCGUCUGGAAAGGCGUGCGAUACAGGGUGACAGCCCCGUACACAAAAAUGCACAUACUGUGAGCUCGAUGAGUAGGGCGGGACACGUGGUAUCCUGUCUGAAUAUGGGGGGACCAUCCUCCAAGGCUAAAUACUCCUGACUGACCGAUAGUGAACCAGUACCGUGAGGGAAAGGCGAAAAGAACCCCGGCGAGGGGAGUGAAAAAGAACCUGAAACCGUGUACGUACAAGCAGUGGGAGCACGCUUAGGCGUGUGACUGCGUACCUUUUGUAUAAUGGGUCAGCGACUUAUAUUCUGUAGCAAGGUUAACCGAAUAGGGGAGCCGAAGGGAAACCGAGUCUUAACUGGGCGUUAAGUUGCAGGGUAUAGACCCGAAACCCGGUGAUCUAGCCAUGGGCAGGUUGAAGGUUGGGUAACACUAACUGGAGGACCGAACCGACUAAUGUUGAAAAAUUAGCGGAUGACUUGUGGCUGGGGGUGAAAGGCCAAUCAAACCGGGAGAUAGCUGGUUCUCCCCGAAAGCUAUUUAGGUAGCGCCUCGUGAAUUCAUCUCCGGGGGUAGAGCACUGUUUCGGCAAGGGGGUCAUCCCGACUUACCAACCCGAUGCAAACUGCGAAUACCGGAGAAUGUUAUCACGGGAGACAC
rnacentral:rRNA from 1 species